rnacentral:tRNA from 1 species
UCUAAUAUGGCAGAAUAGUGCAAUGGACUUAAACCCCAUAUAUAAGGCCUAAGCCUUUUUUAGAA